rnacentral:misc_RNA from 1 species
UCCGGUUUACCACCGGCAGUCCCUGCAGAGUCCUCGGCAUCACCCGUUAGCAACAGCAGGCAGGGGUUGCGCCCCUUGCGGGGACCGCCCAUCUCUGAGCGUAGCGCGGGAUGUCAAACCCUGGUAAGGUUCUGCGCGUUGCGUCGAAUUAAACCACAUGCUCCACCGCUUGUGCGGGCCCCCGUCAAUUCCUUUGAGUUUCAACCUUGCGGCCGUACUCCCCAGGCGGGACGCUUAAUGCGUUAGCUGCGCCACUGAUAAGCAUGCUUACCAACGGCUAGCAUCCAUCGUUUACGGCGUGGACUAC